rnacentral:lncRNA from 1 species
CAAAACUAACCAUUGAAUCAAUCAAGUCUAGCAUCAUAAGCAGGGUCCCAUCUAUACCCUUUCCCUCUCUCAGAGAAGGGAAGAGAUCACCCUCUCCUAUCUUUACUUUGAAACCAAGUUUAAUCACUAGAAGUUGGCAGUAUUCCAUCUCUAUUCUUUGGAGUUGGAGUUCUUUUUGUUUACAUCCUGGUAACCAUGACAUGUAUUGUCUUUCUGACUCUCAAGACCUUUUGUAUUAGUAGAAUUUUAAUUAUUCUCUGUGCUGCCUUUAAGUGUAGCACAAGAUGAAAAUGGUUCAGUAGAUGGAGAGCUUACCUUGGAGUCACCUUCCUCCCAACUGAGAGGGGAGUCAAUAAGGAGGAGUAAGAAGGAGUAUUUCAGAGGAGCUUCCUGCAAACCCCAAGUCCUCCAGACUGGAAUUCUACCAAGCUACAAUGGCAUCGAGAUAACAAUUCUGGAGAGAUUCUCACUGAUACUCCUUACCUACUUUGGUGGCUAAGGAUCAUGGUGGAUAGAGAGAUGAACUUGGAAUGAUUGCAACUAAAAUUCUAAUCUUGCUGCUGACACUAGCUGGGUGACUUUGGAUAAGUCAUUUACCUUUUCUCUGCCUCAGUAACUUAGUCUGCAAAACAGAUAUCAAUAACAAAAUGUAGAUAAUAUGGACACCAUAAAUAUGUAGCAUCUCUGUUGCAUUAUUGCAAAGAUUAAAUGAGUUGAUAUGUGUAAAACAUAAUCACUAUUCUUGGUUAUUUUAUUUUUAUUGGUGUUAUUAUUAUUAUUAUUAUUAUUAUUAUUAUUGUGAUUUGG